AGAGUGAACGCUGGCGGCAGGCCUAACACAUGCAAGUCGAACGGCAGCACAGGAGAGCUUGCUCUCUGGGUGGCGAGUGGCGGACGGGUGAGGAAUACGUCGGAAUCUGCCUAUUUGUGGGGGAUAACGUAGGGAAACUUACGCUAAUACCGCAUACGACCUACGGGUGAAAGCGGAGGACCUUCGGGCUUCGCGCAGAUAGAUGAGCCGACGUCGGAUUAGCUAGUUGGCGGGUAAAGGCCCACCAAGGCGACGAUCCGUAGCUGGUCUGAGAGGAUGAUCAGCCACACUGGAACUGAGACACGGUCCAGACUCCUACGGGAGCAGCAGUGGGAAUAUUGGACAAUGGGCGCAAGCCUGAUCCAGCCAUGCCGCGUGUGUGAAGAGCCUUCGGUUGUAAGCACGUUUUGACGGAAGAAAGC
rnacentral:rRNA from 1 species